rnacentral:tRNA from 1 species
CUUUGUUUUUUUUAUAUAAGAAUUCGGAAUAAAUCUGGAUUUUUAUUUAAAUAUUCAAAAUGAACUUUAUGUUUCUUCAUUUUUCC